rnacentral:rRNA from 1 species
CCGUAACUUAGGGAGAAGGGGUACCAAGGUAAAACUUGGUCGCAGUGAAAAGGUCCAGGCGACUGUUUAGCAAAAACACAGGUCUCUGCAAAAUCGAAAGAUGAAGUAUAGGGGCUGACGCCUGCCCGGUGCUGGAAGGUUAAGGGGAAAGGUUAGGUGUAAACCGAAGCUUUGAACCAAAGCCCCAGUGAACGGCGGCCGUAACUAUAAC